rnacentral:lncRNA from 1 species
UUUUUGACGUAUGCGAUCUCGAAGUAUAUACAAACAUGUUUGACGGUUGGAUCUUUGAAACUAGUUUCAUAGAAUGAGUAUCCCAUCAAAAUAAUAGAUUCACUAAUACGUAAUAGUUUAUUCAUACUUUUAUUAAGUAUAAUAUAAGAUUUUGUGGUUUCCACUAGUGUAAAUAUUUUAAAUUGAAGAUCGAAUUUAAUCAUUGUAUUCAUAUAAGGUCAAGGAGUGUAGCUGCAAAAAAUCAUCAAAAUCAGAGUUAAAAUGACCGUUAAAUCGUGAUUUUUCUUUUUAUAACCGUCGAAAAGUUUUGUCCCGUUAAUUGAUCUCUGAAUGUUUGUUUUUUGUAAUUUUUGACGUAUGCGAUCUCGAAGUAUAUACAAACAUGUUUGACGGUUAGAUCUUUGAAACUAGUUUCGUAGAAUGAGUAUCUCAUCAAAACAAUAGAUUCACUAAUACUUAAGAGUUUAUUCAUACUUUUAUUAAGUAUAACAUAAGAUUUUGUGGUAUCCACUAGUGUAAAUAUUUUAAAUUGAAUAUCGAAUUCAAUCAUUGUAUUCAUAUAAGGUCAAGGAGUAUAGUUGUAAAAAAUCAUCAAAAUCGGAGUUAAAUUAACCGUUAAAUCGUGAUUUUUCGUUUAUAACCGUCGAAAAGUUUUGUCCCGUUACUUGCUCUCUGAAUGUUUUCUUUUUGCAAUUUUUGGCGUAUGCGAUCUCGAAAUAUAUACAAACAUGUUUGAUGGUUGGAUCAUUGAAACUAGUUUCGUAGAAUGAGUAUCCCAUCAAAACAAUAGAUU